rnacentral:SRP_RNA from 1 species
UGGUGGGCUAGAUGGGGGCUAGGGGUCCCUGUUCCGUAAAUCCCCUUUAGGCGGGUCGAAACCCUGAAGCGUAAUUUGUUCUUCAUGCGUCCUUUGUCUUAGGCGCUGAAGUCUUCCCUUUCAGGAUGGAUGCUUUGUGCGAAACUGGUCAGGCCGGAAGGAGCAGCCAUAAGCGCUCUGCGCCAUGCUUGAGAGACCGGAGAUGGAGCUGAUGGCAGUGGCUCCGCGCGGAGAGCAGGUUGCAAAUCAGGGAGCCCACCA